rnacentral:tRNA from 1 species
GUGUAGCUUAAUAGAGCAUUUGCCUAGCAUGCACAAGAUCCUGGGUUUAAUUCCUAGCAC